AUUUGAUUGGCUGGUUGUUUUGAGGAUAGGAAGGGGCUGCUUGUUCUUCUAAAAAGGCAAACUACUAUUGGAGAGUUCUCAAUAGCCUCUCUCUCUCUCUCUCUCUCUCUCUCUCUCUCUCUCUCUCUCUCUCUCUCUC